rnacentral:sRNA from 1 species
UCUGCCUAGAAGGGGGUCUUUCUCAGCAUCAUGAGCUGGCUUCAUAUCCUUCAUGGGAAGGGGCCAUCCAAGCC